GAAAUCAAGCAUUAUUUGUUCUGGUAUAGUGACUUCAUGUUCUUGGUAUUUCCUAGGGGGUAUAUAUUGUGCUAAUUCUUCAAAAUCUUUGUGUAUGAUAAUAUUAUCAGUUAUUUUUCUUAAAUUGUUAUGAUGACUAGUACUAAAAGCAAAAAUUGAUUUUAUGCUUAUACUAAUAGCCUUACUUCUUCGUAACAUUUUUAAAUUACCAAUUCUAUAAUAUAGAUUGAAACUUUGGUCAAUAUUUUCAUCAUUUAAUGAUAUUGCAUAAUUUGG
rnacentral:lncRNA from 1 species